rnacentral:rRNA from 1 species
AGAGUUUGAUCCUGGCUCAGGACGAACGCUGGCGGCGUGCUUAACACAUGCAAGUCGAACGAGAAAGUCCCUUCGGGGGCGAGUACAGUGGCGCACGGGUGCGUAACACGUGGAUAACCAACCCUCGAGUGGGGGACAACAUUCCGAAAGGGGUGCUAAUCCCGCAUAAGACCACAGUGGCUGCGGCCACAGGGGUCAAAGACUUCGGUUGCUUGAGGACGGGUCCGCGGCCCAUUAGCUUGUUGGUGGGGUAAUGGCCUACCAAGGCGAUGAUGGGUAGCUGGUCUGAGAGGACGAUCAGCCACACUGGAACUGAGACACGGUCCAGACUCCUACGGGAGGCAGCAGUGAGGAAUAUUGCGCAAUGGGCGAAAGCCUGACGCAGCAACGCCGCGUGAGUGAUGAAGGCCCUCGGGUUGUAAAGCUCUGUCAGGGGGGAAGAUGCCGCAAGGUGACGGUACCCCCAAAGGAAGCACCGGCUAACUCCGUGCCAGCAGCCGCGGUAAUACGGAGGGUGCAAGCGUUGUCCGGAUUCAUUGGGCGUAAAGAACGUGUAGGCGGCUUGGUGGGUCGAGUGUGAAAUCCCGUGGCUCAACCACGGAACUGCGCUCGAAACUCCCAGGCUUGAGUCCGAGAGGGGGAGGUGGAAUUCCCGGUGUAGGGGUGAAAUCCGUAGGUAUCGGGAAGAAUACCGGUGGCGAAGGCGACCUCCUGGCUCGGUACUGACGCUGAGACGUGAAAGCGUGGGGAGCAAACAGAAUUAGAUACUCUGGUAGUCCACGCCGUAAACGAUGAGCACUAGGUGUUGGGGGGUCUGAUUCUCUCAGUGCCGUAGUUAACGCGAUAAGUGCUCCGCCUGGGAAGUACGGCCGCAAGGCUAGAACUCAAAGGAAUUGACGGGGGCCCGCACAAGCGGUGGAGUAUGUGGUUUAAUUCGACGCAACGCGAAGAACCUUACCUGGGUUUGACAUCUGGGGAACUCGGUAGAAAUACCGAGGUGCCUGGCUUGCCAGGAGCCCCAAGACAGGUGCUGCAUGGCUGUCGUCAGCUCGUGUCGUGAGAUGUUGGGUUAAGUCCCGCAACGAGCGCAACCCUCGCUGGUAGUUGCCAUCAUUAAGUUGGGCACUCUACCGGGACUGCCGGUGUUAAACCGGAGGAAGGUGGGGAUGACGUCAAGUCCUCAUGGCCUUUAUGCCCAGGGCUACACACGUACUACAAUGGCCGGUACAAAGGGCUGCGAACCAGUGAUGGUAAGCCAAUCCCAAAAAACCGGCCCCAGUUCAGAUUGCAGUCUGCAACUCGACUGCAUGAAGGCGGAAUCGCUAGUAAUCGCUGAUCAGCAGGCAGCGGUGAAUACGUUCCCGGGCCUUGUACACACCGCCCGUCACACCAUGGGAGUUGUUUGCACCAGAAGUCGCUGGGCCAACCGCAAGGGGGCAGGUGCCG